rnacentral:piRNA from 1 species
UCCAGAAAUUCAUGUAUGGCA